rnacentral:rRNA from 1 species
AACGUAGGAGGCGAGCGUUAUCCGGAUUUACUGGGCGUAAAGCGCGUGUAGGCGGUCUUGUAAGUUGGAUGUGAAAGCUCCUGGCUUAACUGGGAGAGGUCGUUCAAAACUGCAAGACUUGAGAGUGGUAGAGGGAGGUGGAAUUCCGGGUGUAGUGGUGAAAUGCGUAGAUAUCCGGAGGAACACCAGUGGCGAAAGCGGCCUCCUGGACCACUUCUGACGCUCAGACGCGAAAGCUAAGGUAGCAAACGGGAUUAGAGACCCCGGUAGUCUUAGCUGUAAACGAUGUGAACUUGGCGUCGGUGGGUUUAAAUCCAUCGGUGCCGAAGCAAACGCGAUAAGUUCACCGCCUGGGGACUACGGCCGCAAGGUUAAA